rnacentral:lncRNA from 1 species
AUUGUAUAAUUUGUCAUGUAGAAAUCUCAUUUUCUUUUUUUUUCUGAGACAGGGUCUCACUCUGUCAACCAGGCUGGAGUGCAGUGGUGCAAUCUCGGCUCACUGCAACCUCCAGCUCCCAGGCUCAAGGGAUCCUCUUGCCUCGGCCUCCUGAGUACCUGGGAUUACAGAUUCACUUUCUACCUAUUCUUGGAUGACUCCCCAAACAAUAUUAUCUACAGCCCAGAUGUUUCUAAGCUCCAGGCCCCACCGCACACCAGGCAUCUCUACUUGAUUGUCCACAUCCUUCUGGCUUGCUGUGUUUCAGACUGAACUUCCUCCUAUUCUUCUCAGAGAAGGGCUCUACCAUCUGCUGAAUUGCUCAAAUUUGAUUCCCUUCCCCGCAUCCAGCAGUUGCUCUUUCUUGUCCAUUCUGUUUCUUGUCUCUUGAAUCCACCCCCAUCACAUGGUCCCACCUGCCUCUCCCCUAGGCCAGGCCCGUGCCACCUUUUCCCCAGACUCUUCCUGCAGCUUUACUCCGCCAAUCAACUGAAUGGCUUAUUUUUAUUCUUGUGGUAAAAUACACGUAACAUAAAACUUACCAUCUUAACCCUCCAAUUCAUUUUUGACAUUACUCCUGGAGUGACUUUUCAAAGCAUAAAUUUAGUUAUGUCUCAUCUUCCCAAACGUCUUUGGAAGUUCCCAUCACCUGUAGAAUAAAAUCCCUAACCUGACGUAUGAGCUUUCCUAAUUUCCCUGGACUAAUUUUCUCAUUAUAUCACACCCUGCUGUUGCACCCUGCACUCUCAGCAUCUUUG